CCUACGGGAGGCAGCAGUGGGGAAUAUUGCACAAUGGGGGAAACCCUGAUGCAGCGACGCCGCGUGAGUGAAGAAGUAAUUCGUUAUGUAAAGCUCUAUCAGCAGGGAAGAAAAUGACGGUACCUGAGUAAGAAGCCCCGGCUAACUACGUGCCAGCAGCCGCGGUAAUACGUAGGGGGCAAGCGUUAUCCGGAUUUACUGGGUGGAAAGGGAGCGUAGACGGCAGUGCAAGUCUGUAGUGAAAGGCGGGGGCUCAACCCCCGGACUGCUCUGGAAACUGUACGGCUGGAGUGCAGGAGAGGUAAGUGGAAUUCCUAGUGUAGCGGUGAAAUGCGUAGAUAUUAGGAGGAACACCAGUGGCGAAGGCGGCUUACUGGACUGUAACUGACGUUGAGGCUCGAAAGCGUGGGGAGCAAACAGGAUUAGAUACCCCUGUAGUC
rnacentral:rRNA from 1 species